rnacentral:sRNA from 1 species
AAAGCUUGGAUUUUUGUGGAUCGGGGAGCGAUUGACAGACAUGUUCGAUAAGCAAUGUAUAACGUCUGCUCGACACCCCUAAGCCAAACAGCUCGUGUACGUUACAGCAUGGAACCCUUUAUAUAGACCAACGAACGGUGAAACCAUGAAAUCCUUCCUGACCUUGACCUUGGCUGCCGUCCUUUUGGCCAGCUGUUCCGCCCAGUGGCGCAGGGGACCAUUUAUCGUCGGAUUUGGCGGGGAUGAUGGAAUCUUUGAUGAUGGAUUCUUCGAUGAUGACUUUUACGAUGAUGACUUUUACGACGAUGAUUUCUUCGAUGACGACUCCUUUGGUUUCUUCCUUGGCGGGCCAAGGAGGGGAGGAUUCGGAAUGGGAGGCGUUUCUCCAUUCGUCGAAGGAAUGAACGCUGGUGGAUUUAUGGGAGGAAUGGGCGCUGGUGUUGGUGGAUUUACGGGCGCUAGUGGAUUUGGAGGAAUGGGCGGUAUGAUUGGGGGACACAUCGGAGGAUCUGGAUAUGGAAAGAAACACUAAGGCGGAUACGGAAAGAAGAUGAGCGGAUAUGGUAAAAUGAUGACCGGUUACGGGAAAUCUUCCGCCAUUUCUGUACCUAUGGUUUCAAGAUACCAUACAUCAAGCUAUCCACAAGUAGGGUAUGCUGGAGGAGCAUCAUCCUAUUAUUAGGCUGGCUAUGCCUGAGUAUCCUUCUCCCUUCUUCUUUCAUCAGGCUUGAUAUGAUGAAGAAUCCUUAUUGUAGAUUUUGACAAAGAUUCUUCUCCAUUUGAACUCUUAUGCCAAAAUAAUAUAUGUGUCGGAGGAACUCAGUAUAUAUAGUUUUAGAUGUCACAUGAGUGAUCCUGGAUGUUUAGUUUUAUAUACUUAUAUGUGGAUGUGGCUAUAUUUUUAACCUAUAUUAGAGAUGUGAUAUAAGUUUUCUUAAGCAAAAUCUUUCCGAUCGCUGCAACUUAUUUCAGAGAAGUUUGAGAGUUUGUUAUAAGAUAAUAAAAACUUUGUUGCUGGCGAAUUUUAUUACUACAUAGAAUGUGCAAAGUAAGUGAAUAAGUAACUAAAGAAAACAAAAUUUAAGCAGUAUGCCAUAUUGACAUAUCUAGUUGAGAAAUUCAACAUUCUGAAAAUUAUAUAAUUAUAUUAAUCAUACAUUUGUGUAGAAAGAAUGUGGUCUUAAGUUCAGUAACUUAUUCUGGACAUUUGUGCCCAACACCAGUUUUAUGUAUUUGUACAGGAAGAAUAGGUUCGUGUUACAUGAUUGUGUAUAUUCAUUAAAUUCAACUAAAAUCUUACACAAGCUGGAAUCAUUAUCUCUGUUAACGUUUUAUUAAACAAUGUCUGCUCUAUCUAUUAAGUAUAUAAGUGAAUAUGGAUUGAACAGCGGGCAAAAAUACAUGUUGCCUAUAUUUGCUCUCUCCAUCUGAGAUCAAGGUAUAAAUAUUUAUAAUACUAUUUAAUAGUGUAUACUUUUAUUAUAUAUAUAUUAACAUGAAUGUUCUAUUCCUUGUAUGUAUAUUGUGUAUUUAUUAGUAUAUACCUAUCAUUUAUGUGAAUUUUAUUUUAUGUUUAUUGUAUCAUUCGAAUAUUUAUUAAGAAUAAAAACAAUAUUGAUC